CAGCAUGCAUUUCGGCAGUCGGCGAACAGCGGGGAACCGGCGGACAAAAGCUUUACAUGAUGGCAGAAGGCAGGCAGACCCACAACUAUCCUGGAUGUCUCCUGUCAGCAGACAGAGAUUGUGCAGCAAGCAACAAUCACUUUGGGGGCAAAUAGAGGCCGGAUCUCCAAAGCCCGGAGGAAGAUGGCUCUCCAGCGGGUUUUGAGCAUCCCGGAGGUUCCGCUCAAUCACGUUCCUGGCCUUGGCAUGGUGCCUGUUGAAUCUGCUUCAACUUGGCCUGUUGAUUAAAAUACAGGAAGGCGGUAUGGGGUCAUGAGGGUCACAGGAUGCUGCAGGCAAGGGUAGCCCCGUCUCCAAGGAGGAAGCAGCAGCUGCAGGUGGGAGGAUUCUGACAUGGCACCAUCUAUGCCACCAGCCGCACAGUGGAGCCCCCACCUCCUCCAUCUAUCCUGGCUUGGGGAAAUGGAUGGCCAUCAUCUCCUCCACUACACUGUGGACUAUUCUGCCAACUGUGGCUCCGUGUAUGGUGAAGAGUCUGCUGACACUCUGUAGGAGGUGCCUUCAUGCCAGCCAGCACAGAGACACAGCCACCUCCAUGUCAUGGCUCCAUCCAUGUGGCUGUUGCCGAGGCAACAUCUGGACCAGCACGUUGAUGGAUCUCUGGAGUCUAAAAUCUGGUUUCAGGUCGGCCUCAGAAGAACGUGCUGAGGAUCGGCACAUGGUUGUUUAUUUGCACGUACCUCCGAGGAUUUUGAUCCUGUUUAAAAAAAAAAAAAGAAAUGUAUAUAUUCAAUAUCUAUUCCACUUAUUUAUUAAUUAUCAAUUAACAUCCCAAUAUUCAUUUAUUUAUUCGUCUUUAACUGUUUA